rnacentral:rRNA from 1 species
UAGGGAAUCUUCGGCAAUGGACGGAAGUCUGACCGAGCAACGCCGCGUGAGUGAAGAAGGUUUUCGGAUCGUAAAGCUCUGUUGUAAGAGAAGAACGAGUGUGAGAGUGGAAAGUUCACACUGUGACGGUAUCUUACCAGAAAGGGACAGCUAACUACGUGCCAGCAGCCGCGGUAAUACGUAGGUCCCGAGCGUUGUCCGGAUUUAUUGGGCGUAAAGCGAGCGCAGGCGGUUAGAUAAGUCUGAAGUUAAAGGCUGUGGCUUAACCAUAGUACGCUUUGGAAACUGUUUAACUUGAGUGCAAGAGGGGAGAGUGGAAUUCCAUGUGUAGCGGUGAAAUGCGUAGAUAUAUGGAGGAACACCGGUGGCGAAAGCGGCUCUCUGGCUUGUAACUGACGCUGAGGCUCGAAAGCGUGGGGAGCAAACAGGAUUAGAUACCCUGGUAGUCCACGCCGUAAACGAUGAGUGCUAGGUGUUAGACCCUUUCCGGGGUUUAGUGCCGCAGCUAACGCAUUAAGCACUCCGCCUGGGGAGUACGACCGCAAGGUU